GGUGGUGGUAAUGAUGAUGAUGAUGGUGGUAGUAGUAGUGGUAAUAAUGGUGGUGGUGGUAGUAGUGGUAAUGAUGAUAAUGGUGGUGGUAGUAGUGGUAAUGAUGGUGGUGGUGGUGGUAGUAGUAGUGGUACUGAUGGCGGUGGUGGUGGUAGUAGUAGUGGUAAUGAUGAUGGUGGUGGUAGUAGUGGAAAUGAUGAUGGUGGUGGUAGUAGUAGUGGUAAUGAUGAUGAUGGUGGUAGUAGUAGUGGUAAUGAUGAUGAUGGUAGUAGAAGUGGUAAUGAUGAUGAUGGUGGUAGUAGUGGUAAUGAUGAUGGUGGUAGUAGUGGUAAUGAUGAUGGUGGUAGUAGUGGUAAUGAUGAUGGUGGUAGUAGUGGUAAUGAUGAUGGUGGUAGUAGUGGUAAUGAUGAUGGUGGUGGUAGUAGUGGUAAUGAUGAUGGUGGUGGUAGUAGUGGUAAUGAUGAUGGUGGUGGUAGUAGUGGUAAUGAUGAUGGUGGUGGUAGUGGUAAUGAUGAUGGUGGUAGUAGUGGUAAUGAUGAUGGUGGUGGUAGUGGUAAUGAUGACGGUGGUAGUAGUAGUGGUAAUGAUGAUGAUAGUGGUAGUAGUGGUAAUGAUGCUGUUGGUAGUAGUGGUAAUGAUGGUGGUGGUAGUAGUGGUAAUGAUGACGGUGGUAGUAGUAGUGGUAAUGAUGAUGGUGGUGGUAGUAGUGGUAAUGAUGGUGGUGGUGGUAGUAGUGGUAAUGAUGAUGGUGGUAGUAGUGGUAAUGAUGAUGGUGGUAGUAGUGCUAAUGAUGAUGGUGGUAGUGGUAGUAGUGGUGGUGGUAGUAGUGGUAAUGAUGGUGGUGGUGGUGGUAGUAGUGGUAAUGAUGGUGGUGGUGGUGGUAGUAGU
ensembl:lncRNA